GUUAUAUAUGUAUUUGUUUUGUUUCAAAAAUGAUGAUUUUGUUAAUUCUUGCAUGCCCUCUUGCAAUAGACUAGUCCCCACAGUUUUGAAAACAAUGUUAAAGAUUUUGUCAGCCAUAUGGCCAUGUGGUAUAAUGCAUUUGCUUACUAUCUUGGAGGAUUCAAGUCCAAAUCUGGGCCCCAUACCUCCAGUUUUCAAGAGGGGUCCAAACCCAGCUAGUUAACCCCCAUCCUUUGACCUUCUAGUUGAUACCACCAUGGGUAUUGGCCAGCCUAUAGUGAGUUCUAAAAGUUGCCACUGCCAGAUAAUGUAUAUCCCUUGUGAGAUAUGGUAGAUUAACUUAAUCUAAUCUAUUAAGGACUUUUUCCUCAGACUGUCAUUAAAUUCCUGGGAUAUAAUUAUUAGAUUGGCUAUUUAAAUUAUUUUAUGAAGUUAUUAAGCAAUCUUGCAUUCAGCCAAAUGAUAAGCUAACAAUUCUGAAGCACACACUAUUAAAUUAUUUAGUUAUAAUCUAAGGGAAC
rnacentral:lncRNA from 1 species